UACGGAGGGGGCUAGCGUUGUCCGGAAUCACUGGGCGUAAAGGGCGCGUAGGCGGCCUGAUAAGUAGGGGGUGAAAUCUUGCGGCUUAACCGCAAGGCUGCCUUCUAAACUGUCAGGCUAGAGCACAGUAGAGGCAGGUGGAAUUCCCGGUGUAGCGGUGGAAUGCGCAGAUAUCAGGAGGAACACCGGUGGCGAAGGCGGGUCUCUGGGCCGAUACUGACGCUGAGGAGCGAAAGCGUGGGGAGCGAACAGG
rnacentral:rRNA from 1 species